GUGUUUAAUCAAUUUCGCGAAAUUAUUCACUUGCAUUCAACGAAUUGAGGCACGUAUAUACGAAUUGUCAUACUGCCGAUUGUUAAAGGUUCGCGCGAUGACGCAGAGGCAAAUUGUCGGCAAUUGCAAGACCGAAAAGGAAGGAUCUGCUCAAUGAUUGAUUUCACGUUCAACUUCCUCCGUAUUUAGCAAUCGAGAAUCGAAACUUCCCGCAUAAUUCAAACUUGAACUUGUUGACCGUUGACCCUUUACGAUCCGAGGUAACAUCUGAGGACCAUGGAGAAGUUAGGAGUAAAUGUUAUUUCGUAAACUCAUCGUACGGAUUAUCACCUCGACAAUCUCUUCAUGCUUUAUUCAUAAUCUCUACGUAACUCUGACCAAUCUCUUUCAGUUCCUGUAGAUUCACAGCCACUGUUUUGCUAAAAGAAGUUUAAAUUGGCAUUUUGCGCCGAAUUCAUAACAACAAUGGGAUGCGUUCAACAGAGCCGCAACGUUGCCUAGAAUGUCAACGUACCGUAAGCUGAUAAGGAUGAAACAAAGAUACAUCAGGGGGUGUACAGAGUCACGGGGUGUUUACUGAAGAUGCAUCAAAAUGCAGGAUUUAUUUUUCUCCACUUAACAUUUUUUAGGAUAACUCCACCAUUUAUUAAUGGUCUUAAUAUUCAUUGUACACAUCGUUUUAUAACUUGUACUCAUAGGACCUUGUCACCCUCUUUUUUUAUCAAACUUCCCAUCAGUAUUAUAAGUAUUUAUGGGAUUAAAAUGAUCUCCAUCUUCCAAUUCGUCAUAUUUCUCAUGAUUUCUUUUAUUCUUUCGUUGUUGUCAAACAUCUUCGUUCAUUUUUUG